rnacentral:rRNA from 1 species
GACGAACGCUGGCGGCGUGCCUAAUACAUGCAAGUCGAGCGGAUGAAAGAGGAGCUUGCUCCUCUAGAUUCAGCGGCGGACGGGUGAGUAACACGUGGGCAACCUGCCCUGUAGAUUGGGAUAACUCCGGGAAACCGGGGCUAAUACCGAAUAAUCCUUCGGACCUCAUGGUCCGAUGUUGAAAGACGGUUUCGGCUGUCACUACAGGAUGGGCCCGCGGCGCAUUAGCUAGUUGGUGAGGUAACGGCUCACCAAGGCCACGAUGCGUAGCCGACCUGAGAGGGUGAUCGGCCACACUGGGACUGAGACACGGCCCAGACUCCUACGGGAGGCAGCAGUAGGGAAUCUUCCACAAUGGACGAAAGUCUGAUGGAGCAACGCCGCGUGAGUGAAGAAGGUUCUCGGAUCGUAAAACUCUGUUGUGAGGGAAGAACAAGUACCGGAGUAACUGCCGGUGCCUUGACGGUACCUCAUUAGAAAGCCACGGCUAACUACGUGCAGCCGCCGCCGUAA